rnacentral:tRNA from 1 species
GGCCCCGUCGUCUAAUGGUUUAGGACAUCAGGUUCUCAUCCUGGAGAUUGCGGGUUCGAAUCCCGCCGGGGUCA